CGAUAUCACUUUUAUGUCAGCUCGGUGAAACAACCUUUAUUCAUUAGUCGAUUCCGAUAGAUAAUGAAACGAGUAACUGUGUGGAAACUUAUACACUGCUUAUACUUUCCAGGAAUAAUAAAAAUAAAAUCGAAAAGAAUGAAAUGGAAUAUGGGUGCAUGUAAAAGGGAUCCAUUCCAGGAAUGGAAGACAAUGGACCUUGUUCAUGACCUUGCAAAAUAGUGUAAAUUGGACCAAGAUUCAAAUGUGCCACUAAUGAACUGGCUUGCUCUGAUGUAAGAGUGUCAAUUUGUGCAUCAGAUUGUGCCUGAAAAAUGUCAUUUUAUCAAUAUCGAUAUAAAAUGUAUAAAAAGUUGGUAAAUUAGAACACAUCAAUUGUA